rnacentral:lncRNA from 1 species
AUUGAAUCACUUCUUCCUUAGAAUCCACCUCUUUUGCCCCUAGCUCUCUGUAUCGUCCUGACCCAGAGUUAGUCAUCUGUCCAUCACUUUUUCAACCACCCUGGAAUGUCCCUGCUGCAAAUCUGGGAGGGUUAACCUAGCUCUUACCCCAGCCUACUAGCUAACCAAAGGAGACAGCCGCUAAGAUUCAGAGCCCUCCCUCCUGCAAAGCUGGCUAGCCAAUAGGCACCUGGAGGGAGUAUGCCCACUGAUCCUAUUGGUUGACAACCUCCGUGCAUAAGGAAGAGAGAGGGAGGCAGGCCGGGCAGCAUUGUUAUCUUAAGACACUCAUCUGGUCCCUGAGUCUGCAGGUGACACUGCCUAGGUACGUAGUACUGAGCCUGAGUAUGGAAGCACAGGGCUACAGGCAGCCUUGGAAUCAGAUUGCCGAGAAGAACCAGCUCCUCCUUUAGGCGGCCUCAAGCCGGAGGGGACCUCUCUACUAGUUACCCACCUAUGUGGGUGCACCUGCUGUGUGUAGAGAAGGCAGGAACAAAUCAGCUAGCAGCAUGAUCUCUGCUGAAGCCUGUGGACUUGCCUUUCCCCGAGUGAAAAGCACUGAUUUGGAGGCGAGGGAGUAAGAGUCUUUUUAGAGUUGGAAAAGAAGACAAGAUUCUAGAUUACUCCUCUGCAGAGGGACCUGGGACUCCCUAAGGGGUUGCUUCCUUACUGUCCUUGCUGUUCUCGGUCUGUCUUCACCCUCGGGAUCCAGUCUAGAAACACCCCUUAACCAUGCUUCGGGUUACCGGAGUUCUUGGUGUUCGACUGGAAGAGAGCAGGCGAGAGCUCCAGCAGCGCUAGCAGCGAAGGGAGGAGAGAAUUUGGAAAGGGGUAGCCCUGCUCUCUCACAGUCUGAGAGAAAGACAUUCGCAUUCCCUCCAAAUAUGGGGAGGUGGGGGGGAAGCACGUGAAAUCAUGAAAUAAAAACUUUGGAAAGCUGCCACCGGAGAUGUGGUCGGAGCUGAAAAAACCCUGGAAUCUGUUAGGAAUCUCCUCCCAGACGCUCUGGGAUUUGGGAGCAGCUGAUACAGCAAGGAAGACUCUUGCAAGGAUUCAAGCUUUAAUCUAUAGUCAACAAACCAUCAACAUGCCUUCGAAGACAUUCUGUGAAUUACAAACAUUUGACUUAAAGCAUCUCUGACAUAGAAAUAUGGAGUGACCUCUAGUCUCCUCUACCAAGAUUCAUACCCAGCAGCCCUACUUUCCUCAUCAAGAAAACAACCAAACUAUCUGGGACCACUGCCGAAACCUGGUGGAUUGCAAAGAGACUCAAAUUUUUCAACAUCCUUUAAUAUAGGGACAGGAAUAUGGAAUAUAUCUGUGGCUUUAUUUGUAUAGAGAUCAUUGAGGUCAGGGAACUCCCUAUGCCAAUGAAGAUUGGCAACUUUUUGUAGCUUAAAAUUUUAAAGUGCUACCCAGAGCAUUCAGAAAUGAAUUGAGUUAGCCAGGGUCACAAUAACCCACUUGUUUAAGUGGUAGAAAUUGAACCUAUAUCUUCCU